CUCCCGAUGGUGUAGUUGGUUCAUCACGUUCGACUGUAACUUUGCAUGCAACCUUGCAUGCGAUGCUUAUCGAAAGGUCGCUAGUUCGAUUCUGGCUCGGGAGA